CUCGUAGGCGGUCUGUUGCGUCCGCUGUGAAAACCCGGGGCUUAACCCCUGGCUUGCAGUGGAUACGGACAGACUAGAGGUAGGUAGGGGAGAAUGGAAUUCCCGGUGUAGCGGUGAAAUGCGCAGAUAUCGGGAGGAACACCGGUGGCGAAGGCGGUUCUCUGGGCCUUACCUGACGCUGAGGAGCGAAAGCGUGGGGAGCGAACA
rnacentral:rRNA from 1 species